AUGGGCCUUCUGUUAUAUUCUGGAUGUCUGUGUCUCCUGAAAAUUCAUAGGUUGACACCUAAUCCCCAGUGUGCUGAUAUUUGGGGGUGUGGCUUUGGUGAAGCAAUU